GGCUAUAUCACGUUGGAACACAGGUUUCCCGUACGAUCAUCGCAGUUAAGCAACAUCGAACCUUUUCAGUACCUAGAUGGGUGACCAUUUGGGAAUACUAGGUGUUGUA